GCCUUCGUGGUAUAGUGGUCAGCACGCUCGGCGCGUAACCGAGAGGUCCGUGGUUCGAUUCCCGGGGAAGGCG
rnacentral:tRNA from 1 species